AGUGAACGCUGGCGGUAGGCCUAACACAUGCAAGUCGAACGGCAGCACAGUAAGAGCUUGCUCUUACGGGUGGCGAGUGGCGGACGGGUGAGGAAUACAUCGGAAUCUACUUUUUCGUGGGGGACAACGUAGGGAAACUUACGCUAAUACCGAAUACGACCUACGGGUGAAAGCAGGGGAUCUUCGGACCUUUCGCGAUUGAAUGAGCCGAUGUCGGAUUAGCUAGUUGGCGGGGUAAAGGCCCACCAAGGCGACGAUCCGUAGCUGGUCUGAGAGGAUGAUCAGCCACACUGGAACUGAGACACGGUCCAGACUCCUACGGGAGGCAGCAGUGGGGAAUAUUGGACAAUGGGCGCAAGCCUGAUCCAGCCAUACCGCGUGGGUGAAGAAGGCCUUCGGGUUGUAAAGCCCUUUUGUUGGGAAAGAAAAGCAGCAGGUUAAUACCCCGCUGUUCUGACGGUACCCAAAGAAUAAGCACCGGCUAACUUCGUG
rnacentral:rRNA from 1 species